CUUGAGCCUUAAUAUGUUGUUUCAAAUGAGGCGACGUAAGGGUAGUUAAGAGGGAGAGAAAAAGUAGAGGGGAGAUCAGAUUAUUUUCUCUUUAAAUAAUCACUUGGAUGGUAUGAAAUCUAGCACUGUGCGCAUCACGCAUCGGACUUUCUUUUUUUAAUUAUUAUUAUUAUUAUUUUUUUUUCAUUCCUCCAGCUUCAUGGAUUCCAAUCUUACAGAAACGGAGUCAAAACUUUCUCCACUUCUAAUUCUGCUCUGACACAAUCAUGCAAAGCAGAAGAGACACUGCAGAGAAGUCCUGCAUGCAGGAUGUCGAAUCAGCAGAUCCUCCUGAAUUGCUGCUGAAGAAGACGGUCGCACCUUCCUGAGUCUGGAUCCUUCCUGUUGAACGAUAACUUUCCCUUUUCCACAGAUUAAAAUAAUUGACUAACUGUCGUGAUCAACUGAUCACAUUUGUUUUUACAGUGAUAAAAUCAGAAAUAUUUAGAUUAAGGUGGAAUGCAUUUGCUUAAGAUUUCAACUGAAAUCUGACAUAAAAAAAAAAAAUCAGAUUUAAUGUAUUGUGAUUCGGAUGGGUUCAGAUUUUCUGUAUUAAAAGCUCAAUUGAAUGACUUUAUGUAGUUGAGGCCCUGAGCUCAAUUUAUAUAUGUAUAUAAAACUUGUUAAACUGCCUCAAAUCUGUACCAAAAAUUUUGUAGUAUUAAGUCUUAU